AAGUUAUAAGCUAGUUGGUGCU
rnacentral:miRNA from 1 species